ACAAUGAAACUUCCGUAAUUCGCGGCCCGGCCAUAAAGAAGGCGGGGUGGCUGAAAAGCCAAUGA
rfam:Faecalibacterium cf. prausnitzii KLE1255 F_prausnitziiKLE1255.K95-1.0_Cont34.1, whole genome shotgun sequence.